rnacentral:rRNA from 1 species
GAUCAUGGCUCAGGACGAACGCUGGCGGCGCGCCUAACACAUGCAAGUCGAACGGAGCUGAGAGGAGCUUGCUUUUCUUGACUUAGUGGCGAACGGGUGAGUAACGCGUGAGUAACCUGCCCUGGAGUGGGGGACAACAGUUGGAAACGACUGCUAAUACCGCAUAAGCCCACGGCCCGGCAUCGGGCUGCGGGAAAAGGAUUUAUUCGCUUCAGGAUGGACUCGCGUCCAAUUAGCUAGUUGG